UACGGAGGGAGCUAGCGUUGUUCGGAAUUACUGGGCGUAAAGAGCUCGUAGGUGGUUUGUCGCGUUGUUCGUGAAAACUCACAGCUCAACUGUGGGCGUGCGGGCGAUACGGGCAGACUUGAGUACUGCAGGGGAGACUGGAAUUCCUGGUGUAGCGGUGGAAUGCGCAGAUAUCAGGAGGAACACCGGUGGCGAAGGCGGGUCUCUGGGCAGUAACUGACGCUGAGGAGCGAAAGCGUGGGGAGCGAACAGG
rnacentral:rRNA from 1 species